AAAAAAAAAGUUUCGCCACACGCUACCUAGCGGUCAAAUAUAGCACUGCAUGCAAAAUUCCCUUUUCUUGCCCCGAAACGUGAAAUUUUCUUCGCUUAUUCGUCAGAACGUGAGAAGUUGUAAACAUAGGUAAAUCAUUUCAUCUGAUGAGUCAACAAUCAACGUUAAGCUAGCUUCGAAAAUUAAUAAUGAUUCAUAGUCAGAGUAAACGUGAAAGUCAUGCAACCUACCGUCAACUAUUUUGUUCAAACUCAUUGUAUUCUACUGAAUGUGUCAUCAAAAUGAUACAGAAUUAAUCUUAAUUAUCGGCUG